rnacentral:lncRNA from 10 species
UGUCACUGGUGUGGGGGUUACCUUCCCACUAUGUCUCCCAGAAGACAUGAGGGCACAGACUACAGUGCCUGUGGACAGAGGAGCUGUGGGGAUGGAAGUGUGAUUGCUUCAUUCAAAUGCACGCCCCGGUGCGUGUGCGUCUCUUCUGAUGCAGCUCCCCAUGGCUUACCGGUGUGUUUUUCACGUUUAUAAAGCUGAAUACUUCUGUAUGUCAGCUUAGCACCCCUAGCAUCAGCCAUGCUACUCUCCUGCUGUGCAUAGAUGGGGGCCUGUCCCCCUGCUGAAUCUCCUGGGUUCCUGCUGUCAACACCUGAAGGUACCCACCAGAUGUGUCUGUCACUUCCCUCCAUCCACCUCUCUUGUGUUUCUCAUGUUUCUGCCUCCCUAGAGACCAUUUCUCUCUAGAGCAGUGCUUUCCAAUAGAAAUACAAUGCCAGACACAUACGUCAUUUUAGAUUUUCUAGUAGUCACUUUAGAAAAGUUAAAAAGAGGCUGGGCAUGGUAGCUCACACCUGUAAUCCCAGCACUUUGGGAGGCUGAGGUGGGCAGAUUAGCUGAGGUCAGGAGUUCGAGACCAGCCUGGCCAACAUGGUGAAACCCCGUCACUACUAAAAAUACAAAAAUUAGCCGGGUAUGGUAGCAGGUGCCUGGGAUUACAGCCUCCCGAGUAGGCUGAGACAUGAGAAUCACUUGAUUCUGGGAGGUGGAGGCUGCAGUGAGCCGAGGUCAUGUGCACCACUGCAAUCCAACCUUGGCAACAGAGCAAGACUUUGUCUCACACAAAAAAAAGAAAAGAAAGAAAAGUUAAAAGGGAGCAGGUGAAAUUAAUAAUGUGUUUUAUUUCACCUAAAAUGUUAGUAUUAUCCAGAAUAUCACUUCAACGUCUUAUCAAAAUAAAAAUUAUUAAUGAGAUAGUUUGCAUUCUUCCUCUUUUUUGAGAUGGGCUCUUGCUUUUUUUUUGGCCCAGGCUGGAAUGCAGUGGCACCAGCAUAGCUCACUGCAGCCUCAAACUCCUGGGCUCGAGAUCCUCCUGCCUCAGCCUUCCUAGUAGUUAGGACUACAGGCACACACCACCAUGCCCAGCUAAUUGUUUUUCUUUUUUGUUUGUUUGUUUUUCUUUUUUUUCUUUUUUCUUUUUUUUUUUUUUUUGAGAGGAAAUCUCACUCUGUCACCCAGGGUGGAGUGCAAUGGCAUGAUCUCAGCUCAUUGCAACCUCCGCCUCCCAGGUUUAAGUGAUUUUCCUGUCUCAGCCUCCCAAGUAGCUGGGACUACAGGCGUGCACCACCAUGCCUAGCUAAUUUUUUUGUAUUUUUAGUAGAGACAGGGUUUCACUAUGUUGGCCAGGCUGGUCUUGAACUCCUGACCUCAGCUGAUCCACCCACCUCGGCCUCCCAAAGUGCUGGGAUUACAGGUGUGAGCCACUGCGCCAAGCCUUUUUUUUUUGAGAUAGGGUGAUAGGGUCUCACUCUGUCACCCAGGCUGCAGUGGUAUGAUCUUGGCUCACUGCAACCUCUGCCUUCCAGGUUCCAGUGAUUUUUCCCACCUCAGCUUCCCUAUUAGCUGGGACUACAGGUACACGCCACCACACCUGGCCAAUUUUUUGUAUUUUUUGUAUACAUAGGGUUUCACCAUGUUGGCCAGGCUGGUCUCGAACUCCUGACGUCAAGUGAUCCAUCUGGCUUGGCCUCCCAAAGUGCUGGGAUUACAGGCGCGAGUCACCGCACUUGGCCUUAGCAAUCUUUCAAGUGCUCAGCAGCCACAUGUGGCAGUGGCUGCCUUAUUGGACAGCGCAGCUCUGAACGGUGAUUUUAUGUACAUCCCCACUGCUCUCUCUGCCUCCUUUAUUCCCAUCUACCCCACACCCCUGAUGUCUAUUGGAGGGAGUCUACUGGGAGUGUGGAGGCUUUCCUGUCCCUAGCAUGGAUGACAUCAGCAGGUGGUGAUGAAAGUGAUUAAACAGCAUUCUCAUCACAAAAAAAAGUCAAGUAUUUGAGGUAAUGGGUUGGUUAAUUUGAUUUCAUCAUUCCACAUCGUAAUGAAAAGUCAUACCAUCAUUUUAUACCCCAUAAAUAUAUAUAAUUUAGAAGAUAGAUAAAAAUCAGCCAAAACAAUUCUUUGAAAUAUUUUUAAGCAAACAUGUACAAUUUAUGGGGUACAAUAUCAUUUGUUAGUAUAUAUAAUUUUUUUUUAUGGGGAGUCAGUUAACACAGGAAACAGCCCCUUGAAAGGGAGAUACCCCCACACCCCUGGAGUAGCCCCUGGAGGACUAUCGCCUCCCUCUCUCCUCUCUUUCUGUCUCAUAUUCCUUUAAUUUGGAGAAUCAUUUCCAAUUCCUUAACAUUCUGGCCUGAUUUUUUUCUGUCUUACAUUCAAAGGUCACAGUUUUCCUCUCACCCUCAUUUCAGUCUUUUCCCAUAAGAUGUGACAUGCCUUUUUGUCUUGGUUGGGCAUUUAUUUGCAAUACAAGAAUGAUUGUUUUCUUUGAUACAUUAAUGACUUAGAUACUUUUCCUAGUAAAAUGUAUCUUAACAGAAUUCCAAAUUAAUUCUAGACAGCAUAUUUUUAAAGGUGUGUAUAGAGCUCCUUAUGUUUCUUCCUUGAUUUUUAAAAUGACAUAUUUAGGUCUAUAUAUUUUAGGAUAUAAGAUCUCUAUGUGUUGCUUUGCUUCAUUGAACAUUUUUGGUGAUUAUUUUUAUUUUCUGUGUAUUUUAGGAUUUCCAUUAAACUAUAUUCUCAUUUCAAAUUUCUAUCUGAGUGAUAGAAUUAUUUUAAUGUAGGAAAGGUUCAUCAAAAAUGGGUGUAGUGAUUGUGUUCUUUCCUAUGCUCGAAUGGAAAAUGAUGAGGGGACAUGAUGUUAGAGUUGCAGUGAGAAGGGGUGGAAAAGAGGGAUUCCAGAGUGCCAGGCACACAGGUUUUCUGGAAGGUUUACAUGAGGACUGCUGUGGUUUGAAUGUGUUCCCCGAAGUUCAUGUGUUGGAAACUCAACCCCUAAUGCAACAGUGUUGACCAGUGGAACCUUUAAGAGGUGAUUAGGUCAUGAAGGCUCUGCCCUCAUGAAUGGAUGAAGCUAGAGUGGGUUAGUUAUCUUGGGAGGGGGUUCCUGAUAAAAGGAUGAGGUUGGCUUCCUUCCCUUUCUCUUUCCCCCUCCCCCCUUCACAUGUGGUCACUCUCUUGCCCUUCCACCUUCCACCAUAGGACGGCACAGUGAGACCUUCACCAGAUGCAGGCCCCUCACUUUCCCAGUGUUCAGAACCGUAAACCAAGUGAACUCUUGCUUAUAAAUCACCCAGUCUGUGGUAUUCUGUUAUAGCAACACAAACGGACUAAGAGAGGGACACUCAGUGGGCUCUUCUCUCUACUUGAUGGAGCACUCCCUGCGUGGUGCCUUGUAUUUGUAGACAUGAUGCUGUAAAUGUUUUUUGAAUGUCUUGAAGGCUUUUGUUUGAGGAGUUUACAGAGAAGCCCCUACAGGCUUCAGGUCCCUUCUUCUGUUGCUUCUUUGCUCCUUAGUUCCUCCCCUAACCUGGUGCUAAAUUAGAUCAUAGUGUGGUCCUUGGACCAACAGUAUCAAUAGCACCUGAAAGUCAUGCUGGAAAUACAGAUUCACAGGCUGCUCCCCAGAAUACUGAAGAAGAAACUCUAGGAGUGAGACCCAACAAUCUGUGUUUAACAAGUCCCCAGGCCCCUGGAUCCUCCUGGAAUCCCUGAUCCCUGUUGCUCCCUGGCGGAGUUUUCUAGUCCCUCUUACUUGAAGCAUGUCUUUCAGAGCCCGGCACCACCCAAGUUGGGUAUCUGAUACCCCAUCAGCCUGAGUCUCUUAAAGGCCUUUAUACACAUAUGUCUACACAUAGGGAUUUGGAUGAUCUCGGGAUCCCACAUCCUCGCUGUCCCCUGUCCCCCCACAACAUCCCACACCAAUACCUUUCUGAAGUUUUCUAGUCCCUCCUUUUUGUUUGUGGUCCUUAAAGCCCAGCCCCAUGCCUGACUUUGGUUCCCAGUGAGCAUUGUACAUUUGUGGAUAUUAAAUCUUUGGCAAAGUCAUUUACCUGGGCUGGAAUAGGGCUCUUGGCUGAUUCUUUUUCCUAAACACCCACCCAAUGGGAGAGGCUGAUACUCAACAUGCAAACCUUGUGUUUUAUUUCUCCAGGCGAAGGGAUGUUGGAAGACAUUCUGGAAGGGGUGGGGUGUGAAGAUUUACAAAUAAUCUUUGAAUAUCUGCUUCAUGAUAGGUCUUGGAGGUGCCUUGUGGGUGUGGCUUUGGGGGGAUGGUUACGAGGAAAUUGUGGAUAUUAAGGAAGUCAGGAAAGGAAAAGAUCAGUCACAAUUCAACAAUUCAGAGAAAGCUCCUAAGGGACUUUCUGGCUGCUUGAUGCCCAGAGGCCAGGCCCUCACUUCGUAUUAAGGCUCAGGACUGUGGAUAGAGAAUUUAAAGGGGCACCAAAAAAACAUUAAAAUAGAUAAACAUAUUUUUAAUGGAAUACCUUUAAAAAUGCAAAUCAAUGCACAAAGAAAACGCCCA